rnacentral:rRNA from 1 species
GUCGAACGCUGGCGGCGUGCUUAACACAUGCAAGUCGAACGGAAAGGCCCUGCUUGUGUGGGGUGCUCGAGUGGCGCACGGGUGAGUAACACGUGAGUAACCUGCCCUUGACUUUGGGAUAACUUCAGGCAACUGGGGCUACUACCGGAUAGGAGCUCCUGCUGCAUGGUGGGGGUUGGAAAGUUUCGGCGGUUUGGGGUGGACUGGGGGCUUAUCAGCUUGUUGGGGGGGUAGUGGCUUACCAGGGCUUUGACGGGUAGCCGGCCGGGGGAGGUGUCCGGCCACAUUGGGACUAAGGGACGGCCCAGACUCCUACGUGAGACAGUAGUGGAGAAUAUUGCACAGUGGGCGGAAGCCUGAUGCAGCAGCGCCGCGUGCGGAAUGACGGCCUUCGGGUUGUAAACCGCUUUCGCCUGUGACGAAGCGUGAGUGACGGUAAUGGGUAAAGAAGCACCGGCUAACUACGUG